rnacentral:rRNA from 1 species
UACGAAGGGUGCAAGCGUUAAUCGGAAUUACUGGGCGUAAAGGGUGCGUAGGCGGUUCGUUAAGUCUGUCGUGAAAUCCCCGGGCUCAACCUGGGAAUGGCGAUGGAUACUGGCGAGCUAGAGUGUGUCAGAGGAUGGUGGAAUUCCCGGUGUAGCGGUGAAAUGCGUAGAGAUCGGGAGGAACAUCAGUGGCGAAGGCGGCCAUCUGGGACAACACUGACGCUGAGGCGCGAAAGCUAGGGGAGCAAACAGG